UGUGAGAUCCCACAUCGGUUGGAGAGUAGAACGGAACAUUCUUUAUAAAGUGGGGAAACAUCUUCCUAACAUAGCGUUUUAAAAACUUUGAGGAGAAACCCAAAAG